rnacentral:lncRNA from 1 species
CCUUCCCUUCCUCCCUCCUCAGGAAGCAUCAGUAAGCUCAGCUCAUUCUGAACUUUAAUACUUUACUAUUUCUGACAUGGACUCAGGAGCAGAAGAGGCAAGAUGAAUGUUGGAGGAAUGGACUCAGAGAAGAGAUUGGAAAGGUUUAAAACUAUUUGUGGCUGGUGAAUGCUGUGAUGGGGAGACACUGGAAUGUUCUAAAAAUAUUUUCAGGGUACCUCUCUUGGAUCACUGGUGGCAAACAGGUGAGCAGUUUUCUAGAGUAAAUUGAAUUCUUAUUGAAAAAAAGAAAAGAGUUAAGGAGAGACAAUAAAUAGAUGUUGCCUAAGAUGGCA